ensembl:lncRNA
CUGAGAGCGGAGAGAGACAGAGAACGAGGGAGACAGUGGCGAGGAGGCAGCGCAUCACAUCAGGCGCCGUUUUGCAUCCAAAAAAUCUUGACGCGGGUCAAUCGCCACAUUGGCUGCUGCUGCCGCCACCGCCGAGCCGCUUCCUGGUCACUGCUCUUCACAGAGACCGCAGGAGACAGAGCAAGCUGGGACAAAUCACUGACAGACAAAGACUAAAGAAAAAAACAAAAGAAGAACCACAGCCACACAUACUGCCAGAGGCAACGAGCGGAGACCUGCGAAGCCAAGCCGCGUCCUCCUCCACCACGCCGGCAUCUGGACCAGUGGCUGAAUGCUCCUGGCGCCCCCCGUUUGAGAACCAGUGAGAAGAAAAAUCAUCAAAGAGAGACUGAGCUG